rnacentral:rRNA from 1 species
UGCAGUCGAACGGAAAGGCCCUGCUUUUGUGGGGUGCUCGAGUGGCGAACGGGUGAGUAACACGUGAGUAACCUGCCCUUGACUUUGGGAUAACUUCAGGAAACUGGGGCUAAUACCGGAUAGGAGCUCCUGCUGCAUGGUGGGGGUUGGAAAGUUUCGGCGGUUGGGGAUGGACUCGCGGCUUAUCAGCUUGUUGGUGGGGUAGUGGCUUACCAAGGCUUUGACGGGUAGCCGGCCUGAGAGGGUGACCGGCCACAUUGGGACUGAGAUACGGCCCAGACUCCUACGGGAGGCAGCAGUGGGGAAUAUUGCACAAUGGGCGGAAGCCUGAUGCAGCAACGCCGCGUGCGGGAUGACGGCCUUCGGGUUGUAAACCGCUUUCGCCUGUGACGAAGCGUGAGUGACGGUAAUGGGUAAAGAAGCACCGGCUAACUACGUGCCAGCAGCCGCGGUGAUACGUAGGGUGCGAGCGUUGUCCGGAUUUAUUGGGCGUAAAGGGCUCGUAGGUGGUUGAUCGCGUCGGAAGUGUAAUCUUGGGGCUUAACCCUGAGCGUGCUUUCGAUACGGGUUGACUUGAGGAAGGUAGGGGAGAAUGGAAUUCCUGGUGGAGCGGUGGAAUGCGCAGAUAUCAGGAGGAACACCAGUGGCGAAGGCGGUUCUCUGGGCCUUUCCUGACGCUGAGGAGCGAAAGCGUGGGGAGCGAACAGGCUUAGAUACCCUGGUAGUCCACGCUGUAAACGGUGGGUACUAGGUGUGGGGUCCAUUCCACGGGUUCCGUGCCGUAGCUAACGCUUUAAGUACCCCGCCUGGGGAGUACGGCCGCAAGGCUAAAACUCAAAGGAAUUGACGGGGCCCCGCACAAGCGGCGGAGCAUGCGGAUUAAUUCGAUGCAACGCGUAGAACCUUACCUGGGUUUGACAUGGAUCGGGAGCGCUCAGAGAUGGGUGUGCCUCUUUUGGGGUCGGUUCACAGGUGGUGCAUGGCUGUCGUCAGCUCGUGUCGUGAGAUGUUGGGUUAAGUCCCGCAACGAGCGCAACCCUUGUUCACUGUUGCCAGCACGUUAUGGUGGGGACUCAGUGGAGACCGCCGGGGUCAACUCGGAGGAAGGUGGGGAUGACGUCAAGUCAUCAUGCCCCUUAUGUCCAGGGCUUCACGCAUGCUACAAUGGCUGGUACAGAGAGUGGCGAGCCUGUGAGGGUGAGCGAAUCUCGGAAAGCCGGUCUCAGUUCGGAUUGGGGUCUGCAACUCGACCUCAUGAAGUCGGAGUCGCUAGUAAUCGCAGAUCAGCAACGCUGCGGUGAAUACGUUCCCGGGGCUUGUACACACCGCCCGUCAAGUCAUGAAAGUUGGUAACACCCGAAGCCGGUGGCCUAACCGUUGUGGGGGAGCCGUCGAA